rnacentral:lncRNA from 1 species
GAUGGUGUUACGGCACACACCUGCGGGGUGUUUGCUGUCCGUGCCCCUCGCCGAGCUACAAAUCAUCAUUAAAGCGAGCUGCUUAAGCUUCUUCCCAGCUUCUAGACAAGAGUUACUUGGGACAGUUCACUUUGAUAUUGCUGCAGCUCGCAAUUGACAAGCAAGCUAUUUUGGAGCUCAAGCCAGAGCCCACAUCCUAAUGCGCUUCGCGAAAAUUAUUGACAAGCACCGUGGGCUCAAUGGUGUCAAGUUGUACUUGUGGUUUCAACACCCCGCAGCAACCCACGUAGCCGCUGGGCCCUGGAUUAGGACCCCCAGUCUGGCAGUGCUUAUCUGCCCGUCUGAGUGAUGGAGAGAUGAGUAUCAGUCUAUACCUCAACUGCUUCAAGCCCGCCUGGGCUUUCUCCCUGGCGCCUUUGUCUGUGUCAGGGUUGGAGCAACGAAACUGAAAGAUCUCCAGAGUUUGAAAACAGAGUGAAAGAGCAAAUUUAAUAAAUGAGAGCUCAGCCUUGAAUCUUAGUCUUUAUUAAUAGAGUCAUGUCCCUCACACCCAAAUAACUAUCAAACUUCAAACCACAUGUACUGUUUUUCAGAGUUCGGGUUCUUUCCUGGGUUCAUCAUGAAAGGUGUGAGGGAUGAAGGGGAAAAGGGUCUGAGGAGUUGGCAGG